rnacentral:rRNA from 1 species
AACGAACGCUGGCGGCAUGCCUAACACAUGCAAGUCGAACGAGACCUUCGGGUCUAGUGGCGCACGGGUGCGUAACGCGUGGGAACCUGCCCUUAGGUUCGGAAUAACUCCCCGAAAGGGGUGCUAAUACCGGAUAAUGUCUUCGGACCAAAGAUUUAUCGCCUUUGGAUGGGCCCGCGUUGGAUUAGCUAGUUGGUAGGGUAAAAGCCUACCAAGGCGACGAUCCAUAGCUGGUCUGAGAGGAUGAUCAGCCACACUGGGACUGAGACACGGCCCAGACUCCUACGGGAGGCAGCAGUGGGGAAUAUUGGACAAUGGGGGGAAGGCUGAUCCAGCAAUGCCGCGUGAGUGAUGAAGGCCUUAGGGUUGUAAAGCUCUUUUACCCGGGAUGAUAAUGACAGUACCGGGAGAAUAAGCUCCGGCUAACUCCGUG